ACGAACGCUGGCGGCAUGCCUCACACCUGCAAGUCGCACGAGACCUUCGGGUCUAGUGGCGCACGGGUGCGUAACGCGUGGGAACCUGCCCUUAGGUUCGGAAUAACUCCCCGAAAGGGGUGCUAAUACCGGAUAAUGUCUUCGGACCAAAGAUUUAUCGCCUUUGGAUGGGCCCGCGUUGGAUUAGCUAGUUGGUAGGGUAAAAGCCUACCAAGGCGACGAUCCAUAGCUGGUCUGAGAGGAUGAUCAGCCACACUGGGACUGAGACACGGCCCAGACUCCUACGGGAGGCAGCAGUGGGGAAUAUUGGACAAUGGGCGAAAGCCUGAUCCAGCAAUGCCGCGUGAGUGAUGAAGGCCUUAGGGUUGUAAAGCUCUUUUACCCGGGAUGAUAAUGACAGUACCGGGAGAAUAAGCUCCGGCUAACUCCGUG
rnacentral:rRNA from 1 species